GACGAACGCUGGCGUCGUGCUUAACACAUGCAAGUCGAACGGAAAGGCCCUGCUUUUGUGGGGUGCUCGAGUGGCUAACGGGUGCGUAACACGUGAGUAGCCUGCCCUUGACUUUGGGAUAACUUCAGGAAACUGGGGCUAAUACCGGAUAGGAGCUCCUGCUGCAUGGUGGGGGUUGGAAAGUUUCGGCGGUUGGGGAUGGACUCGCGGCUUAUAAGCUUGUUGGUGGGGUAGUGGCUUACCAAGGCUUUGACGGGUAGCCGGCCUGAGAGGGUGACCGGCCACAUUGGGACGGAGGUACGGCCCAGACUCCUACGGGAGGCAGCAGUGGGGAAUAUUGCACAAUGGGCGGAAGCCUGAUGCAGAAACGCCGCGUGCGGGAUGACGGCCUUCGGGUUGUAAACCGCUUUCGCCUGUGACGAAGCGUGAGUGACGGUAAUGGGUAAAGAAGCACCGGCUAACUACGUG
rnacentral:rRNA from 1 species